rnacentral:rRNA from 1 species
AGAGUUUGAUCCUGGCUUAGGACGAACGCUGGCGGCGUGCCUCAUACAUGCAAGUCGAACGAUAAGGUCUCUUCGGAGAUACAUAAGUGGCGGACGGGUGAGUAAUAUGUAGAGAAUCUGCCCUAGAGAUGGGGACAACAGAGGGAAACUUCUGCUAAUACCCAAUAUGAGCGUAGCUGAAAUGCUAUUCUUGAAAACUCCGGUGCUCUGGGAUGAGUCUGCAUCUGAUUAGCUAGUUGGCGGUGUAAUGGACCACCAAGGCGACGAUCAGUAGCUGGUUUGAGAGGAUGAUCAGCCACAAUGGGACUGAGACACGGCCCAUACUCCUACGGGAGGCAGCAGUAGGGAAUUUUGCGCAAUGGGGGAAACCCUUGACGCAGCAACGCCGCGUGAAUGAAGAAGCCCUUCGGGGUGUAAAGUUCUGUCAGUGGGGACGAAACUUGACGGUACCCACAGAGGAAGCAUCGGCUAACUCCGUGCCAGCCGCCGC